GGUGUUAUAGUGUAGCGGUUAUCACUCAGGAUUCUGAUUAUACGGAUAUUCCUGAAACCCAGGUUCGAUUCCUGGUAAUACCU